rnacentral:lncRNA from 1 species
UGUUUGAGCAAGCGUUGGGGGAAGUGCCCCUCCUUCCCCCAACAAAUGGUGAACCUGGCGUGACGUGCAACACUUUCUGAAGCGUCGUUUCUCUCUUUUCUUUUGGCCGCAGAGUUUGGGAAGGAAUUCCUUGUUCGUCUUGCGGUGGUUUUCUUUGAUUUUGAGCGUGUUAUAUAGGUCUAGAGCUCCUCUUUCCAGCAAGGUAUGGCGCUCAUCAAGCCGUGCAGUAUUUGAAGAGAUACAACGUUUCUUGGGUCGCUCGGAUGAGCAUUUUGGGGUUUUCACUUUCUCGCCUAAAUCGUUAGCUGAAUUUCUCAAGGUAGUGCAUUUGGGUUUGUAGAUCUGGCCUAGAUCUAUGAGUAGUGGUAGUGCUUGGCACUAGAUUUAGGUGAAUUGAUGGCAUGCAAAAGGAUUUUCUCCUCCAGCUAAAUUGGGUCAUCUUUGGAGCAGGAAUUCGUGCUCCUCCGAGCUUUGUUUUGGAUGCCGUUUGUUUCUAGAGGUGCUCCUGAUCUUAGGCUUUCCAGAAAUACUAAAGGCGCCUCAAUAUCAAUCUACAUCACGG